rnacentral:misc_RNA from 1 species
CUUCCGACAAAGCUUAUUAGAGUUGUGGAUAUUUGUUCACAUAAAUAUGUUUUCUGAUAUAAAAGUACCAUCAAAAGUGCAAUUGGGCCUUUCAUGAUUUAUUUUGUUCAAAUAGAUACAAAUGUUCUAUUUUCGACCAAUUGAUCCCCCUUGACAAUAUAUAUAGUUGACAAGACAAUACUAUUAAUUUUCAUUAUUUUAAACAUUUUACAAUUUUAAUAAAUCAUUUAAAUUUUUAAGUAAUUUUUUAAAAAUAAAUCACAAAAGACCCAAAUGGCAUGUUUGACUAUAGUACUAAUGCAAAUACUAAUAGUUAGUCACCCUAAGAGGCCACUGCAGUUAACAAUCAUUAGUUAGACAAUGCAUACUAUCAAUUUUCUUCUUUUCCUUCAGCUUAACUGGUUUACCGUUUUGUAAUUGCUAAUAUGCCAAAGACGACACAAGAAAGCAUAAAUCAUAAGACAACAACCUGUAAUAUACAACACCAUUCUAUUUUCCCUUCAGCUACCUUCUAUAUUAUCCUCCAGUACUUGCUAUCAAGAAAUAAAUUACGGAGAAAAGAACUAAAUGUUA